CCAAGAAGUUGUGGCAUUUGUGUGAC
rnacentral:piRNA from 1 species